rnacentral:rRNA from 1 species
GACGAACGCUGGCGGCGUGCUUAACACAUGCAGGUCGAACGGAAAGGCCCUGCUUGCAGGGUACUCGAGUGGCGAACGGGUGAGUAACACGUGGGUGAUCUGCCCUGCACUUCGGGAUAAGCCUGGGAAACUGGGUCUAAUACCGGAUAGGAGCCAUUUUUAGUGUGAUGGUUGGAAAGUUUUUUCGGUGUAGGAUGAGCUCGCGGCCUAUCAGCUUGUUGGUGGGGUAAUGGCCUACCAAGGCGGCGACGGGUAGCCGGCCUGAGAGGGUGGACGGCCACAUUGGGACUGAGAUACGGCCCAGACUCCUACGGGAGGCAGCAGUGGGGAAUAUUGCACAAUGGGCGCAAGCCGGAUGCAGCGACGCCGCGUGGGGGAUGACGGCCUUCGGGUUGUAAACUCCUUUCGCUAGGGACGAAGCUUUUUGUGACGGUACCUAGAUAAGAAGCACCGGCUAACUACGUG